rnacentral:tRNA from 2 species
UAGGAAGUGGUGUAGUGGAAGCACAAAGAGUUUUGAUCUCUUUGGAUUGGGUUCAAGCCCCUUCUUCCUAA